ACGUGAGUUCAGCCCAAGGGAUGGCACUCCUAAGUUGAUUCAACACUAAAAACCCCAAAUUGGUGAUGAAAUUCAUCAAAUUGAAGGUAGCAAAGAGGAAAUGUGUGACCAGGAGGGUUCAACUUCAUAGUUUAAGCAUUUGUUUAACUCUUAACAAGCCAGGUGGAGCUUGGAACGGAAUGGGUCAAGCGGGUCAAACACGCGAAAAGGCAUGAUCGGACGCAAGGUAAGUAAAGCUUAUACCUCUUAAAUAAAACCCAACUUAUGUAAUAAGUUAAGAACAAGACGAACAAAGAAUCGGAUGAGUAUUUGGUGUAAAUACUUGUUGACGCGAACCAAAACGGGUCAAACAAGUAAAAAGGAGUUUUUGGUGUAAAUACUUGCUGACGCGAACCAAAACGGGUCAAACGGGUAAAAAUAAGUUUCUGAUAUAAAACACUUGCUGACGCGAACCGAAAUGGGUCGAGCAAGUAAAAAUAUAGUUUUUGGUAUAAACACUUGCUGAUGCGAAAUAAAACAGGUCAAACGAGUAAAAAUAAGUUUUUGAUAUAAAACACUUGCUGACGCGAACCGAAAUGGGUCGAGCAAGUAAAAAUAUAGUUUUUGGUAUAAACACUUGUUGAUGCGAAAUAAAACGGGUCAACGAGUAAAAAUAAGUUUUUGAUAUAAAACACUUGCUGGUGCGAACCGAAAUGGGUCGAGCGAGUAAAAAUAAGUUUUUCUAUAAACACUCGCUGACGCGAACCAAAAUGGGUCGAGCGAGUAAAAAGAUAAGUAAAUCAUAUGUUAAUGAUUAAACUAGUGAUCGUAAAAAAAGAGAAAAAAAAGACCCGAUGACGUAAGUCAUAAUGGGUCAAAUAAGUGAUAUCGCAAUUAAUUCCCAUGUUAGUGAUUUAAACGAUAUAAGGACUUGUCUAGUUAUCUAAAGAAUAAAUUAAUAAUGGUUCAAAGACUGAACGGGUCAUACGAGUCAAAUGGUAAUGAUAUCACCAAUUGAGCGUAAUAUUUAACGUGUGUUAUUGUUAAGUGUUAUACUCACAGGUAAGGUUACUAUACGGACAAGUAUUGUCAUGACUAGUGAAAAUAAAUUUUCAAGGUACUGAAAACGGGUCAUUGCAUUGACCCGCGCCAGGUAUGUCUAACCAGUCGUUUGAGGUAAACCGCCAUACCGGAAUUAAAAAAAUGAAAAAAAAUGAAAAGUUAAGGUUUGUCUAAAGUAACCAACCAUAAUUCGAGUUGCGGUUGGUAGAAACAAGUAGAAUAUUGAUAAGAAAGUUGAAGGCAUAAACUAGAAUGCAGAAUGCCUCCUAACAGGUCGGUUGGGUAACUAACUUCGAACCGAAAAAGUAAUUUGAAAUGAAAACACGUUUUUAGCUGGCAUGGUCGGGUGGAAACCUGAUCCGGCCGGGUGGAAACCUGAUCCGGCCGGGUAAGGGUGCUGAGAAAAAAGGCAUGUUUCAGCUGGACACAGCCGGACGGAAACCUGAACCGCCCGGGAAAUAAAAAAAACAUGUUUAGAUGAAAUUUAUUGCGUUUAGUAUUUUCGUUCAAAUGUUUGAUUGCAAAUCAUUCGACAGUUUAAUUUAAACACAAAUUAUUUUUAGUGUUUGUGAUAGGCUAUCUCAAGGACGGGAACUGGACGGACGACCAAGCACACGCAGAACCGAACACUAUUAAACCAAUAUCUCCUUGGAGAAGUUUCACGAGAAAGUUGAAGCAUGAUCAUGCGUUUCAAAGUUCUCAAAAUUAAAAACUUGACUAUUGCAUAAUACAAAUCAAGUGUAAUAAUUUGUUAUGUCUAUCGUCUGGUUUGUCGGUUAACACAGACGUAUAAGUUCUAUGUAAAAAGAAAAAACUGGGACCUAAUUUUCUGAGUUUAUUAAGAUAUUAUUCAAAACAGGUUAGAGUGUUACAAGUGGUAUUCAGAGCUCAUGGUUUAAAGGGUUAAAGUGUUCGGUUUGAGACUUGGUUGCGUGAUCCGGUAAGUUUUUAUGAAUAAUAACGGUCUACCAUGGUUGAAUGUUGUUGUAAACACAAUAUAGGGCUAUCGUGUGAACGCACAUUACUCCAAAAGAAAAGAUAUGGUAAAAGACAAGUAUGGUUAGCGAAUUACUUGUCUUAACAAGUAUUAUAGGAUGCCUUGAUUAUAGUACGAGUGCUUAUUAAUUUUAAAGUUACUAAUCCUUUGUGACGUUUCAGUAACAUAAUGCUCACAUUUGAAGAUGGCAAGAGUCUAAUGAUCUACCGAUCUGAUGAUGACUGCUCUGAAGUAUGACAAGUAUAGCAUGCUCUCCAAGGACCGAAAUCAAGUAAUCGAAUAAAGGUCGAACGACAAUGAAAGCCCAUUAGGGUGAGUAUCUCCCAGGUGCACGCGUUAAAUUAUUGUAUAAAUGGUAGUAUGCAACAUAUACGUAGUGGAUGACGGUUAAAUACGGGAUUAAGGUAUGGGAAAAUCGGAUGGGAUACCAUCCAUGAUGAUGUUUCCAAGAGAAAUUGGGCCGGUAAUACGCAUCAUUCACAAUCGUGAAUAAUAAAAAUAUAAGAGUGAAGAUUUUAAAACUUAGAUAGGGUGACCAUCCAAGUUAACAUUAUCAGUAAGAUCCUAUUGAGGAAAAGUAACGAUCACGUGAAUAAAUAUGGUUGCAUAAAAGUUUAUAAAUUCAAAACAUUCUAUAUGUUUUAGAUGAAAAUGAGUAAAACUAAUAAUUGUUAAAUAACAAUAAGAAUAGGUUUUACCAAAUAAAAUCGGAGAUACGGAUAUGAACCAAGAAUUUACUUACAUGGGAGGUAAUGCGUUAGUUAUAAUAAGGUCAUAUGUACCAUGUGUUAACUUCUUUCCUUGGCCAAGUAACUAGUAAACACAUGAUGCCUUAAACUUCUUAUAAUAAACGCAUAUACGUCCGAUGUAGUAAAAGCGAGGUUAAUGGAAAGGGAAUAAUCUCAUGAAGAGAAUGUGGAUGGUUUAAGCUUAACUGCUUAAACAACAUAAUGAGUCAAAUAAAUGUAAACGCAAACCGGGUAACGGGAGUGUGAAACACAAGGUUAAUGAGCCCGGGUAAUGGGUUGUAGUUGAAAGGGAAAUCCUUGGAUUAAUUCAUUAUGGACUAAAGAGCCAUGGUUGACAAAAAGGGCAAGUAAAAUCGACGUAUAAAUGACCCGCGGGGUCAUAGAAGCAGAGGUAUUGCCUGAAUAGAAAACGAUCAUAGUUAUGAACUACGGUCGGUGUAAGAAAAUAAUAGUGAUAAAAGGAUUUAUAGAUCCGGCAAGUAAAACCAAUGCAUAAAUGACCCACGGGGCUAUAGAAGCAGAGGUGUUGCCAAUACGGAUCAAACAUGGUCAUGGGUCAUGGUUGCUAUAAAAAGAAAUUUGCCUUUCAUGGUCUAAAGGGCCAUGAUUGGUGGAAAAAAAUGAAUGAAGAGAAAAUGAUUUUUAUAAUCAUAAAAUGGGUGUGUUAACACCAAACACACUUAAAGAAUGACACGGGUAAAUGUUGGCCUACGAGAUCAUCACGACCUUCGGGUCGUGAAGGUCGUGAAUAAUGAUAAAUGUCUACGGACCAAGGUGUCCCUCGGGUCACUAAUAAAAGGGAAUGGACCUUAGAGGUCUUACCUUAAAAGGGUAAAAUCUUAAUGAAAUAGCCUAUGAUGUAAAGAAAGAGGGGCAUAUUGGCCAAUUGAGAUAAGCCGUGGGAACCAGUUACGGUUCCCCGUGUAAAACUAAAACGGUAAAAAGAAUUGUUUGGUUGUCAAUUUCUUGAUGCAAGUAAUUGACACAAGUUAAAGAGAAAACGUUGAACUAAAAUUCGGUUUCAGUUAGAAACAAUGUUUUAACAAACCUAAAUAAUAUGGGAUGGAUUGGGAAACAGUUAAUAUUAAAAAGAAACGAGUUUUGGCACCAAUAGGUGCAAGGCCAUGUUUUCGAAAAGAAAAUUUUGAAAAGGAUGAAAUGUUGAAAGAAACUUGGACAUGACGUGCUACGAUCAUGGUCAAGGUUAUGAGUUAGGAAUGAUUACAUUGUAGCAUAAGUUAUGAGACUUGGGGCUACUAACGCAUAUAAGGUCUUUGGGAAGUAACGAGAGUAUACCCGAAUAACAGGGUAUAAUGUCACCUAUGACUGAGGAGUCUAACCGGAAAGUCCGGUCAAGGUCAAUAUUUUGCUUAUAACUUAAUCUUGCGCUUGUCUUAAUAGGAUUAGAGCGGAAUAAACAUGUUGACAGAUUCAUAUGAUCGAGUGGCCAGAGGGUAACUCGCCAAGAUAGAUAAUAAAGAGAAUAAGUACAAGAUAAAAGUAACGACCCAUGAGUCCUUACACAUGAAAGGUGCAUGUGGCAAGGCGUAUGAUAGUUCUUGACUGAACGGAUGGACGCCUUGAGAACAAAGGUGACGAUCAAGAAAAAGAGCAAGAAAAGAACAUCGGAAGGAGGUCGGCCACCACUUUAGAGUCCAAAAAAAAACACUACCAUACCUUCCUAGUAAGCUUAUUGAAUGAUUAAAAUGUGAGCAACGCUCAAACGAAAACCAAAACUAAGUUCAUUGGGUUUAACCCAAGGAACUACGUAAGAAAGGUUUCAGGACGAAACCUCGUUAAGUGGGGUAGACUUGUAACACCCCAAAAGAGGCUUGGCAAUUAAACCAAAUUAACCGCGGAUGAGAGGGUAAAAUAUCGUUGGUGGUAAAAGUUAACCUGUAAACAUUAGGAUUUAAAUAAAUAAAUCUAAUGUUUAAUUAAUGGAAAAUGAAUGCCUUUCUCGGAAGAUAAAGUUUAUCAAAAGACUCGGACUACCGGAACUUAAAUUAAACCGGGUCCGUCGAACCAGGACCCGAAACAGUGGGGACUAGGUUUGUCCACAAAAAGAUUGAGAUGUAACGUUUAUAAAAUGUGGACUUUAGAGUUUAUUGUGUUGAAAACCUAUAAAAAACACGAUUAGUCCAUUUAUGUGAUAAAUUGAUGUAUAUAAAGGCUUAGAUGAGGGACCUUUCUUGUAAAUAUGAGACUAAACAAAAGAAAAAAAAAGACCAGGAAUCCCAUUUUGGGUGGUCACGUGAGUUCAGCCCAAGGGAUGGCACUCCAAUUGGUGAUGAAAUUCAUCAAAUUGAAGGUAGCAAAGAGGAAACGUGUGACCAGGAGGGUUCAUCUUCAUGGUUUAAGCAUUUGUUUAACUCUUAACAAGCUAGGUGGAGCUUGGAACGGAAUGGGUCAAGCGGGUCAAACACGCGAAAAGGCAUGAUCGAACGCAAGGUAAGUAAAGCUUAUACCUCUUAAAUAAAACCCAACUUAUGUAAUAAGUUAAGAACAAGACGAACAAAGAAUCGGAUGAGUAUUUGGUGUAAAUACUUGUUGACGCGAACCAAAACGGGUCAAACAAGUAAAAAGGAGUUUUUGGUGUAAAUACUUGCUGACGCUAACCAAAACGGGUCAAACGGGUAAAAAUAAGUUUCUGAUAUAAAACACUUGCUGACGCGAACCAAAAUGGGUCGAGCAAGUAAAAAUAUAGUUUUUGGUAUAAACACUUGCUGAUGCGAAAUAAAACAGGUCAAACGAGUAAAAAUAAGUUUUUGAUAUAAAACACUUGCUGACGCGAACCGAAAUGGGUCGAGCAAGUAAAAAUAUAGUUUUUAGUAUAAACACUUGUUGAUGCGAAAUAAAACAGGUCAAACGAGUAAAAAUAAGUUUUUGAUAUAAAACACUUGCUGGUGCGAACCGAAAUGGGUCGAGCGAGUAAAAAUAAGUUUUUCUAUAAACACUCGCUGACGCGAACCAAAAUGGGUCGAGCGAGUAAAAAGAUAAGUAAAUCAUAUGUUAUUGAUUAAACUAGUGAUCGUAAAAAAAGAGAAAAAAAAGACCCGAUGACGUAAGUCAUAAUGGGUCAAAUAAGUGAUAUCGCAAUUAAUUCCUAAGUUAGUGAUUUAAACGAUAUAAGGACUUGUCUGGUUAUCUAAAGAAUAAAUUAAUAGUGGUUCAAAGACUGAACGGGUCAUACGAGUCAAAUGGUAAUGAUAUCACCAAUUGAGCGUAAUAUUUAACGUGUGUUAUUGUUAAGUGUUAUACUCACAGGUAAGAUUAUUAUACGGACAAGUAUUGUCAUGACUAGUGAAAAUAAAUUUUCAAGGUACUGAAAACGGGUCAUUGCAUUGACCCGCGCCAGGUAUGUCUAACCAGUCGUUUGAGGUAAACCGCCAUACCGGAAUUAAAAAAAUGAAAAAAAAUGAAAAGUUAAGGUUUGUCUAAAGUAAUCAACCAUAAUUCGAGUUGCGGUUGGUAGAAACAAGUAGAAUAUUGAUAAGAAAGUUGAAGGCAUAAACUAGAAUGCAGAAUGCCUCCUAACAGGUCGGUUGGGUAACUAACUUCGAACCGAAAAAGUAAUUUGAAAUGAAAACACGUUUUUAGCUGACAUCGCCGGGUGGAAACCUGAUCCGGCCGGGUAAGGGUGCUGAGAAAAAAGGCAUGUUUCAGCUGGACACAGCCGGACGGAAACCUGAACCGCCCGGGAAAUAAAAAAAACAUGUUUAGAUGAAAUUUAUUGCGUUUAAUAUUUUCGUUCAAAUGUUUGAUUGCAAAUCAUUCGACAGUUUAAUUUAAACACAAAUUAUUUUUAGUGUUUGUGAUAGGCUAUCUCAAGGACGGGAACUGGACGGACGACCAAGCACACGCAGAACCGAACACUAUUAAACCAAUAUCUCCUUGGAGAAGUUUCACGAGAAAGUUGAAGCAUGAUCAUGCGUUUCAAAGUUCUCAAAAUUAAAAACUUGACUAUUGCAUAAUACAAAUCAAGUGUAAUAAUUUGUUAUGUCUAUCGUCUGGUUUGUCGGUUAACCCAGACGUAUAAGUUCUAUGUAAAAAGAAAAAACUGGGACCUAAUUUUCUGAGUUUAUUAAGAUAUUAUUCAAAACAGGUUAGAGUGUUACAAGUGGUAUUCAGAGCUCAUGGUUUAAAGGAUUAAAGUGUUCGGUUUGAGACUUGGUCGCGUGAUCCGGUAAGUUUUUAUGAAUAAUAACGGUCUACCAUGGUUGAAUGUUGUUGUAAACACAAUAUAGGGCUAUCGUGUGAACGCACAUUACUCCAAAAGAAAAGAUAUGGUAAAAGACAAGUAUGGUUAGCGAAUUACUUGUCUUAACAAGUAUUAUAGGAUGCCUUGAUUAUAGUACGAGUGCUUAUUAAUUUUAAAGUUACUAAUCCUUUGUGACGUUUCAGUAACAUAAUGCUCACAUUUGAAGAUGGCAAGAGUCUAAUGAUCUACUGAUCUGAUGAUGACUGGUCUGAAGUAUGACAAGUAUAGCAUGCUCUCCAAGGACCGAAAUCAAGUAAUCGAAUAAAGGUCGAACGACAAUGAAAGCCCAUUAGGGUGAGUAUCUCCCAGGUGCACGCGUUAAAUUAUUGUAUAAAUGGUAGUAUGCAACAUAUACGUAGUGGAUGACGGUUAAAUACGGGAUUAAGGUAUGGGAAAACCGGAUGGGAUACCAUCCAUGAUGAUGUUUCCAAGAGAAAUUGGGCCGGUAAUACGCAUCAUUCACAAUCGUGAAUAAUAAAAAUAUAAGAGUGAAGAUUUUAAAACUUAGAUAGGGUGACCAUCCAAGUUAACAUUAUCAGUAAGAUCCUAUUGAGGAAAAGUAACGAUCACGUGAAUAAAUAUGGUUGCAUAAAAGUUUAUAAAUUCAAAACAUUCUAUAUGUUUUAGAUGAAAAUGAGUAAAACUAAUAAUUGUUAAAUAACAAUAAGAAUAGCUUUUACCAAAUAAAAUCGGAGAUACGGAUAUGAACCAAGAAUUUACUUACAUGGGAGGUAAUGCGUUAGUUAUAAUAAGGUCAUAUGUACCAUGUGUUAACUGCUUUCCUUGGCCAAGUAACUAGUAAACACAUGAUGCCUUAAACUUCUUAUAAUAAACGCAUAUACGUCCGAUGUAGUAAAAGCGAGGUUAAUGGAAAGGGAAUAAUCUCAUGAAGAGAAUGUGGAUGGUUUAAGCUUAACUGCUUAAACAACAUAAUGAGUCAAAUAAAUGUAAACGCAAACCGGGUAACGGGAGUGUGAAACACAAGGUUAAUGAGCCCGGGUAAUGGGUUGUAGUUGAAAGGGAAAUCCUUGGAUUAAUUCAUUAUGGACUAAAGAGCCAUGGUUGACAAAAAGGGCAAGUAAAAUCGACGUAUAAAUGACCCGCGGGGUCAUAGAAGCAGAGGUAUUGCCUGAAUAGAAAACGAUCAUAGUUAUGAACUACGGUCGGUGUAAGAAAAUAAUAGUGAUAAAAGGAUUUAUAGAUCCGGCAAGUAAAACCAAUGCAUAAAUGAUCCACGGGGCUAUAGAAGCAGAGGUGUUGCCAAUACGGAUCAAACAUGGUCAUGGGUCAUGGUUGCUAUAAAAAGAAAUUUGCCUUUCAUGGUCUAAAGGGCCAUGAUUGGUGGAAAAAAAUGAAUGAAGAGAAAAUGAUUUUUAUAAUCAUAAAAUGGGUGUGUUAACACCAAACACACUUAAAGAAUGACACGGGUAAAUGUUGGCCUACGAGAUCAUCACGACCUUCGGGUCGUGAAGGUCGUGAAUAAUGAUAAAUGUCUACGGACCAAGGUGUCCCUCGGGUUACUAAUAAAAGGGAAUGGACCUUAGAGGUCUUACCUUAAAAAGGUAAAAUCUUAAUGAAAUAGCCUAUGAUGUAAAGAAAGAGGGGCAUAUUGGCCAAUUGAGAUAAGCCGUGGGAACCAUUUACGGUUCCCCGUGUAAAACUAAAACGGUAAAAAGAAUUGUUUGGUUGUCAAUUUCUUGAUGCAAGUAAUUGACACAAGUUAAAGAGAAAACAUUGAACUAAAAUUCGGUUUUAGUUAGAAACAAUGUUUUAACAAACCUAAAUAAUAUGGGAUGGAUUGGGAAACAGUUAAUAUUAAAAAGAAACGAGUUUUGGCACCAAUAUGUGCAAGGCCAUGUUUUCGAAAAGAAAAUUUUGAAAAGGAUGAAAUGUUGAAAGAAACUUGGACAUGACGUGCUACGAUCAUGGUCAAGGUUAUGAGUUAGGAAUGAUUACAUUGUAGCAUAAGUUAUGAGACUUGGGGCUACUAACGCAUAUAAGGUCUUUGGGAAGUAACGAGAGUAUACCCGAAUAACAGGGUAUAAUGUCACCUAUGACUGAGGAGUCUAACCGGAAAGUCCGGUCAAGGUCAAUAUUUUUGUAUAAACACUCGCUGACGCGAACCAAAAUGGGUCGAGCGAGUAAAAAUAAGUUUUUGUAUAAACACUCGCUGACGCGAACCAAAAUGGGUCGAGCGAGUAAAAAGACAAGUAAAUCAUAUGUUAAUGAUUAAACUAGUGAUCGUAAAAAAAAAGAGAAAAAAAAGAGAUCCGAUGACGUAAGUCAUAAUGGGUCAAAUAAGUGAUAUCGCAAUUAAAUCCCAUGUUAGUGAUUUAAACGAUAUAAGGACUUGUGUAGUUGUCUAAAGAAUAAACUAAUAAUGGUUCAAAGACUUAACGGGUCAUACGAGUCAAAUGGUAAUGAUAUCACCAAUUGAGCGUAAUAUUUAACGUGUGUUAUUGUUAAGUGUUAUACUCAUAGGUAAGCUUAUUAUACGGACAAGUAUUGUCAUGACUAGUGAAAAUAAAUUUUCAAAGUACUGAAAACGGGUCAUUGCAUUGACCCGCGCCAGGUACGUCUAACCGGUUGUUUUAGGUAAAACGCCAGUUGUUUGAGGUAAACCGCCAUACCGGAAUUAAAAAAAUGAAAAAAAAUGAAAAGUUAAGGUUUGUCUAAAGUAAUCAACCAUAAUUCGAGUUGUGGUUGGUAGAAACAAGUAGAAUAUUGAUAAGAAAGUUGAAGGCAUAAACUAGAAUGCAGAAUGCCUCCUAACAGGUCGGUUGGGUAACUAACUUCUAACCGAAAAAGUAAUUUGAAAUGAAAACACGUUUUUGGCUGACAUGGCCGGGUGGAAACCUGAUCCGGUCAGGUAAGGGUGCUGAGAAAAAGGCAUGUUUCAGCUGGACACAGCCGGACGGAAACCUGAACCGCCCGGGAAAUAAAAAAAAACAUGUUUAGAUGAAAUUUAUUGCCUUUAAUAUUUUCGUUCAAAUGUUUGAUUGCAAAUCAUUUGACAGUUUAAUUUAAACACUACUUA